AUGAACGCUGGCGGCGUGCCUAAUACAUGCCAGUCGCGCGAACAGACGAGGAGCUUACUCCUCUGACGUUAGCGGCGGACGGGUGAGUAACACGUGGAUAACCUACCUAUAAGACUGGGAUAACUUCGGGAAACCGGAGCUAAUACCGGAUAACAUGUUGAACCGCAUGGUUCAACAGUGAAAGACGGUCUUGCUGUCACUUAUAGAUGGAUCCGCGUCGCAUUAGCUAGUUGGUAAGGUAACGGCUUACCAAGGCAACGAUGCGUAGCCGACCUGAGAGGGUGAUCGGCCACACUGGAACUGAGACACGGUCCAGACUCCUACGGGAGGCAGCAGUAGGGAAUCUUCCGCAAUGGGCGAAAGCCUGACGGAGCAACGCCGCGUGAGUGAAGAAGGUCUUCGGAUCGUAAAACUCUGUUAUUAGGGAAGAACAAAUGUGUAAGUAACUAUGCACGUCUUGACGGUACCUAAUCAGAAAGCCACGGCUAACUACGUG
rnacentral:rRNA from 1 species